rnacentral:rRNA from 1 species
ACGGGUGAGUAAUACAUCGGAACGUAUCCUGGAGUGGGGGAUAGCCCGGCGAAAGCCGGAUUAAUACCGCAUACGCUCUGAGGAGGAAAGCGGGGGACCUUCGGGCCUCGCGCUCAAGGGGCGGCCGAUGGCGGAUUAGGUAGUUGGUGGGGUAAAGGCCUACCAAGCCGACGAUCCGUAGCUGGUCUGAGAGGACGACCAGCCACACUGGGACUGAGACACGGCCCAGACUCCUACGGGAGGCAGCAGUGGGGAAUUUUGGACAAUGGGGGCAACCCUGAUCCAGCAAUGCCGCGUGUGUGAAGAAGGCCUUCGGGUUGUAAAGCACUUUUGUCCGGAAAGAAAUCAUCGGGGCCAAUACCCCUGGUGGAUGACGGUACCGGAAGAAUAAGCACCGGCUAACUACGUGCCAGCAGCCGCGGUAAUACGUAGGGUGCGAGCGUUGAUCGGAAUUACUGGGCGUAAAGCGUGCGCAGGCGGUGCUGUAAGACCGAUGUGAAAUCCCCGGGCUUAACCUGGGAACUGCAUUGGUGACUGCAGCGCUGGAGUAUGGCAGAGGGGGGUGGAAUUCCACGU